rnacentral:rRNA from 1 species
UGAGGAAUAUUGGUCAAUGGGCGCAAGCCUGAACCAGCCAUCCCGCGUGCAGGAAGACGGCCCUAUGGGUUGUAAACUGCUUUUCGAGGGGGAGAAACUUGCGCACGUGUUGCGCAAUUGACGGUACCCUGGGAAUAAGCAUCGGCUAACUCCGUGCCAGCAGCCGCGGUAAUACGGAGGAUGCGAGCGUUAUCCGGAUUCAUUGGGUUUAAAGGGUGCGUAGGCGGACUAUUAAGUCAGUGGUGAAAUCCUGCAGCUUAACUGCAGAACUGCCAUUGGUACUGAUAGCCUUGAGUUUGGUUAAGGUAGGCGGAAUGUGUAAUGUAGCGGUGAAAUGCUUAGAUAUUACACAGAACACCAAUUGCGUAGGCAGCUUACUGAGCCGACACUGACGCUGAGGCACGAAAGCGUGGGGAUCGAACAGG